CUAUCUUAAAAGACAACAGCUGAUGAAGUUCCUAUCUUAGGAUAGACACAUGAAGAUGUGGCCGAAAAAACUAAUUUAUAAAGAUCUAUGUUUUUGCUGUGUUGAUUAAGGUUCUUUUAUGGAUUUUAUUUCAUUAUGAUUAGUUUGCAUUAAUAAUACCAAGCAGGCAGAACAGGAAACAUCUCCUUCAGAUCUAGCAAUGACACACCUCACUAUACAGUUAAUAAUACCAAGCAGGCAGAACAGGAAACAUCUCCUUC
rnacentral:lncRNA from 1 species